CUACGGGGUGCAGCAGUGAGGAAUAUUGGUCAAUGGGCGAAAGCCUGAACCAGCCAUGCCGCGUGAAGGAUGACGGCCCUAUGGGUUGUAAACUUCUUUUGUACGGGAAGAAACACCUCUACGUGUAGAGGUUUGACGGUACCGUACGAAUAAGCAUCGGCUAACUCCGUGCCAGCAGCCGCGGUAAUACGGAGGAUGCAAGCGUUAUCCGGAUUUAUUGGGUUUAAAGGGUACGUAGGCGGAAACUUAAGUCAGUAGUGAAAUCCCGCAGCUUAACUGUGGAACUGUUAUUGAUACUGGGUAUCUUGAAUAUUGUUGAGGUAGGCGGAAUAAGUAAUGUAGCGGUGAAAUGCUUAGAUAUUACUUAGAACACCGAUUGCGAAGGCAGCUUACUAAGCAAUUAUUGACGCUGAGGUACGAAAGCGUGGGGAGCGAACAGGAUUAGAUACCCGUGUAGUC
rnacentral:rRNA from 1 species